UGUGGCUCAGCUGGUACAGUGUUUGCCUAACAUGCAGAAAGCCCUGGGUUCGACCCCCAGAGCCACAU
rnacentral:tRNA from 1 species